CACUGUCGCCCCGCGCACGCAGGCGCAGCCGCUUCCCGUAGACCCUGCACAGGACGCCGCGCCAGCGUGAGCAGGCGCCUCGGGCUCAGGGCUUACUUGCAGCUCUGUGACGGGUGCGGGCUUGGCCUCGGAGAGUGCCCCUGUGGCGGGGCGCACGGCCCGUCGGGUGACCCCAGGAUGAAGCUCUGUCGGCUGGGGACCAGCUCCCCUAGGCGGCUCGGGAGCCGGCCCAGCACACCCCACCCAGAGCUGGUCCUCACUCAGGCAGUAAAGCGCGGGCCCAGCGCUGCUCUCAGCCUGGCGCAGGCUGGAUGAGCACCCGAGCAGAAUGGACGCCCUGAAGCUGCCGUGUGCCUCCGAGUCAUGCCCACCGCCUAGAACUGGGGGCAAGACAACAGCACAGCAGCAGCUGAGUGACAGGAGCCUCUUCUCUGUGUCCACAAGGGCACCUUACAGACAGCCAACCGCAUGCGGGGGCCGCACAGGACUCUACUCAGAAAUCCUGACACGAGAGGGGAUGGUGGACAAGCAGAAAGCGCUUCUAAGCCUUGAACCAAUUCAUUCUGAAAUCCAAGAUAUUUAAUACCUUUAAAUACACAUCUGGUUUUGAAGGUAAAACGAGGGCACUUUAAAUUGACCGAUCAUCACCAACUUUGUAAGAUUAUUCUCCUUUUUUAACACUUAGAUGCAAAUAAGAAACAAGUUAAUAAGUGAAAAAUAUUUGAGAUGUGUAAGUAUUUUCUAGAAAUAAUGUGACUUCAUUCAUAACCAAAUAGAGUCUGUUGAUGACAAGG
ensembl:lncRNA